GACGAACGCUGGCGGCGUGCCUAAUACAUGCAAGUCGAACGAGAGCGACCGGUGCUUGCACUGGUCAAUCUAGUGGCGAACGGGUGAGUAACACGUGGGUAACCUGCCCAUCAGAGGGGGAUAACAUCCGGAAACGGAUGCUAAUACCGCAUAGGUCUUCGAACCGCAUGGUUUGAAGAGGAAAAGAGGCGCAAGCUUCUGCUGAUGGAUGGACCCGCGGUGCAUUAGCUAGUUGGUGAGGUAACGGCUCACCAAGGCCGUGAUGCAUAGCCGACCUGAGAGGGUGAUCGGCCACAUUGGGACUGAGACACGGCCCAAACUCCUACGGGAGGCAGCAGUAGGGAAUCUUCCGCAAUGGACGCAAGUCUGACGGAGCAACGCCGCGUGAGUGAAGAAGGUUUUCGGAUCGUAAAACUCUGUUGUUAGAGAAGAACAAGUGCUAGAGUAACUGUUAGCGCCUUGACGGUAUCUAACCAGAAAGCCACGGCUAACUACGUG
rnacentral:rRNA from 1 species